rnacentral:lncRNA from 1 species
UGAUGUUAUUUGUUUCUUUUCUCUCGUUGUUUUUAGGGUCCUUUCUCUAUUCUUAACCUUUGGGACUUUGAUUAUUUGUAUUUAAAAUUAAAAAAAUUCAGCAAAGUAUAAAGGAAAAAUAAUCCUCAUCCCUUCAUCUAUGUAUUUUAUGUGUAACAAAUGUUAGCUCAUUAUUAUUGCCAUUGAUGUUAACUGCUUUUUUAUUCAUAGUUCUUGUUAAUUGUCUACGCUUUGAACAUUUAUUUGGAUUUUGCAAUAUAAUUUUUAAAAUUUUAUUAGUGUUUAUAAUUUCUAGAUAAUCUUAUGUUA